GUGCCACUGUUUCUUUGAGAAGUUGGAGCCCACUUCUGCUGUCCUCAUUCUGGUGAGGUUCUGGAGUGAAUCUCCCUUCCAGCCCUGAGUGGGAGAAAGAGCUGCUUCAGCUGGCGUGAUUACUGGGUCCUCACAGAACAAGCAGGUGGAGGAGUGUUCGGUGAAAAGGCUAGGCCAGACAAAUGACUGACUUCAUCAGUGCAGGGGUGCAACCUGGUCACACAAGAAACCCCAGGAUGUCAGGGCCCGGAUUUCUGGGGACAGAGGCCAGCACGCAGAAAUAUAAGAAGACUUGACGCUGUUAAGCAAGUUUUAAGCUGAUACAUCAGGAGACACUUCAGGAUGCCGAAGGUUGUCAGGAAUUUUUUAUUUGCUUGUGACAGAAGCCCAACUCAGAAAUAACAAGAGGCCUUCAGUGAUCUGCAGGAGAGGUCUGGGGGCGAAACCAAUUCUACUUCAUCCGGGUCUUCACGGGAGGCUGGCAAGACCUGGACCCCUCUACUGUUUUGCUUAUUGUUGUUUGAGUCGUCUUCAUUUUGAAGUUCCUUGGUAGGCAGACCCCAGUGCCCUCCAGCUAAAAUACCAGAACUCUAAUUUUAUGGAUUGAAUUAAACCUUGAAUUUGACUCUCACUAGUCUAAACUGUAGACCAGGGGAAUGCAGUGCUUCCCCUGGCCAAAUCUGGCUGGGGAGGGCAAUGCUCAGAUUGACUAGGCCUGAGCAGGAGCCCACCUUUGGGAUGACCAGUGGAAACAGUUCCAUCUGAAGAAGAGGAGGGAUGGGGAGGUGGAGUAAAACUGUCAGGCAUGUCUAACCUUUUCACAUUGCAACAUGAUGCUGUCAUCUACAAAGUUCAUGCUGGAGAACCGUGUAAUAGAGUUACCAAGAAUGAAAACAAACAAACCACCACAC